AUUGAACGCUGGCGGCAGGCCUAACACAUGCAAGUCGAGCGGAUGAAGGGAGCUUGCUCCUGGCUUCAGCGGCGGACGGGUGAGUAAUGCCUAGGAAUCUGCCUGGUAGUGGGGGAUAACGUCCGGAAACGGGCGCUAAUACCGCAUACGUCCUGAGGGAGAAAGUGGGGGAUCUUCGGACCUCACGCUAUCAGAUGAGCCUAGGUCGGAUUAGCUAGUUGGUGGGGUAAAGGCCUACCAAGGCGACGAUCCGUAACUGAUCUGAGAGGAUGAUCAGUCACACUGGAACUGAGACACGGUCCAGACUCCUACGGGAGGCAGCAGUGGGGAAUAUUGGACAAUGGGCGAAAGCCUGAUCCAGCCAUGCCGCGUGUGUGAAGAAGGUCUUCGGAUUGUAAAGCACUGUAAGUUGGGAGGAAGGGCAGUAAGUUAAUACCUUGCUGUUUUGACGUUACCAACAGAAUAAGCACCGGCUAACUUCGUG
rnacentral:rRNA from 1 species